AAAAAAAAAACAUUAAAUUUAAAGUAAAUAUUAAUUAUUGUACCUUUUGUAUCAGGGUUAAUUAAAAAUUAAUAAAUAAAAUAAAUUUCUCGAAAAAAAAGAAAUAAGAAUAAUUAUUGUUACUGUUGAAUAAGUAAAAAAAAAUUAAACUUAGAUUUUAUAAAAAUUCAUCUUUUGUAUAUCUAGUUGUUAAAGCUUAUGGUUAAAUCUGUUACUAUUGGCUAAAAAAAAUUAAAUUAUAAAUUUAUAGUCUCAACUUUUAAAAGACAAGUUAUAAAAGAUCAAUAAAGAAGAUUAUAAAAUAAAAAUGUAAUAAUAUUAAAAAUUUAUAAUGCUAAAAUUUGUUAAAAUUUCAAAAAUUAAUAAAAAUUUUUAAAUCUUUUAUAAGAAAGAAUUUAACUAUACUUAAAAAUACUAAAAAAGUAAAAAAAAUGAUUAAAUUACUAUACUCUUAAAAUAACUACUAAAAAACUAGGCAAAUUCAAUUUUCAACUGUUUAACAAAAACAUAGUCUAAAGUUUAAAUUCUAGAUAAUUUCUGCUCAAUGAAAAUAAAUUAAAUUGCUGCAAUAGAUAUCUGUUGUACUAAGGUAGCGUAAUAAGUUGUUUUUUAAUUAAAAACUUGAAUGAAAGAUAAAAUGAAAAAUUAACUUUUUAAAAUUAGCUAUAAGUAAAAAUUAAUAACUAAGUUAAAAAUCUUAAAUAUAAUAAAAAGACAAAAAGACCCUUUAGAAUUUAAUAAAUAAUACAAAGAAAAUGUAUUAAUUAUUAAGUUGGGGAGACUUUAAAUUAAAAAAAACAUUUAUUUUUUAUAUAUACAAAUAAGUAUUUCUAAUAAGAACCCAUAAAUCAAUGAAACAAAAACUAAUUACCUAAGGGAUAACAGCGUAAAAUUUUUUAAAAGUUCUCAUUAACAAAAUAAAUUACGACCUCGAUGUUGGAUUAAGCAACCAAAUAAAGAAGAAUUUAUUGAGGUAAGGUCUGUUCGACCUCUCCUAAUAAUGCUUACAUGAUCUGAGUUCAGACCGGCGUAAGCCAGGUCAGUUUAUAUCUUUUAUAUAUUAAUUUAGCCACAGUACGAAAGGAUCUGGUAAAAUAAAAUUUUU
rnacentral:rRNA from 1 species